UACGGAGGGUGCAAGCGUUGUCCGGAAUCACUGGGCGUAAAGGGCGCGUAGGCGGCUCAUGAAGGCUGUGGUGAAAGUCCGGGGCUCAACCCUCGAAUGCCGGUGGAUACUGUCGGGCUAGAGUGCGGAAGAGGCGAGUGGAAUUCCUGGUGUAGCGGUGAAAUGCGCAGAUAUCAGGAGGAACACCAAUUGCGAAGGCAGCUCGCUGGGACGUGACUGACGCUGAGACGCGAAAGCGUGGGGAGCAAACAGG
rnacentral:rRNA from 1 species